UACGAAGGGGGCGAGCGUUGUUCGGAAUUACUGGGCGUAAAGGGCGCGCAGGCGGCCCUUGAAGUCAGGCGUGAAAGCCCCGGGCUCAACCUGGGAGGUGCGCUUGAUACUCGAGGGCUUGAGUGCGGGAGAGGAGAGUGGAAUUCCCAGUGUAGAGGUGAAAUUCGUAGAUAUCGGGUGGAACACCUGUGGCGAAGGCGGCCAUCUGGACGUUCACUGACGCUGAGACGCGAAAGCGUGGGUAGCAAACAGG
rnacentral:rRNA from 1 species